ensembl:lncRNA
AUACUACCAUUCUUAAAAAUACAACUUGUUCUGAAGCAUAGGAAAUGGCACGAAUCAGGCACAGGCCGGGCAGGAGCCCUAGACACUGCCGCGACGCCCACACCCAGCAUUAGGGAAAGGGCCCACAGGACGCGCCCACCCGGCGCUCCGGUGCCCAGCGGCACGGCGACGCCCGGGACGUGGGGCUGGAGCCGGGAUGAGUGGUCCCGGCCGGGAGGCCCGGCAGCCGAGGCUGCUGCCGGACGCAGGUCCACGGAGGCCCGUCCGCGCCCAGCCCAGCGUCCGAGUGGCGCUGCUUCUCCAAAGCCCCACGUCUGUCCGGCCGGAGGGCCGGCCGGCCCUGGACUGCCCGGGUUUGAACCCUGGAAGCCCUGCCUCCCAGGAGCCGGCUCGGACAGAUCGGAACACUUAGUCACUCACCUUGUUAAGCCUUCGUGGGGCCAAAAACGUUUCCCUUUGGAAGGGAGGUAGCUAAAGCCGGUAUUUUUCUGGUGGGAGGAUUUGCUUGAUUUACGUCUUUGAGAGAGGGGAAGACUUAAGGAGGAAACGGGUGCCAGGAAAGAUGAAGAAAGUUGUAGAGAAAAACUGGUGAGUUGAGGAGCAGCUUUUGUGAGGUUCAUCUGGAGGUCCAUUUAUGGGGAACAGGGAGGAGAAGGAAGAGUUCAUUCUUGAUACAGUUUCUGUUCAUCCUAACUUUUUUAGUAGGUGGACGGGGGCGCUGGAGAAGAGACAGCUAAAAGAAGCAUGGCUGGGCACAUUUUGAUAAGCGGAUGGAAACCCCUGCCGGCCGGCAUCAUACUGAAACCCGGCUACUCAGAACGCGCUGCUGGCAGGCUGCCGUCCGGUUAGCAGAAAUGAGCACUGCCACGUGGUGAGCGGCAGCACCCUGUUGGGAGCAGAACUCGAAUGAUGAGAUUUGUGAAACUGAGAAGCAGUGUUUCAUUUGGCGAAGAAGAGAAGCUGUGGUGCUCAUUUGAACGCCAAUCUUGAGGGAAAAAAAGACAACCCCAUCUGUGGAAAUGUUGCCCAUGGCUCGCCAGCAAAAUUAAAUCUCUGGUUAGGUAAUCUCUGGAAACCUUUAAAGAAACAAGAAUGAUUUUUCCCACUUAAUGGAUGAGCACAUUUAAGAGAUUAAAUGAUGUUUCCUUAUUUGUGGAAUCUAAAAAAGGAUACAGAGGAACUUAUUUACAAGACAGAAAUAGUCUCACGGACAUAGGAAAACAAUCCCAUGGUUACGGAAGGGUACGGGGAGGGAGGAUAAAUUAGGAGUUUGGGAUGAGCAUACACACUACUCUAUAUGAAUCACAAACUGCAAGGACCUACUGUAGACCACAGGGAGCUAUAUUCAGUAACUUGUAAUAACCUAUAAUGGAAAAGAAUCUGAAAAAGAAUAUAUUUCAGAUUCUUUUCCAUAUAUAUAUUCUUUUCAGGUUCUUUUCGGUGAUAUAUAUAACAAACUUUUCUGUACACUUGACACUAACAUAACAUUGUAAGUCAACUGUACUUAAAUUUUAAAAAAUUAAUGUGUCUAUGUUAAUAACCCAAUGGUGCAGCUGCCACCAGACCUCAACAUUCUUGAACUUAAAGGUACUGUUUAUACCGUUGUUCAAAACUGAUCAAAAUCUGUCUGGGCUCAACAUGGAUUACCAUUCUAAAGGUAAAGUGUAGUUUAUCCAUGCUUGAUUGGUACUACAUUCCCUAGAACUUUCUUCCUUGUGUGAUUUGCUACAAGAACAUUAUGAGAUUCACAUUUGCACAACGUUAAACUAAAUUAGGCCAAAGGCAGUGUAAUAAUCGUCUUUUUAAUCUCAGUGUCAAACACUGUUCCAGGUCACACAAUAGGGGCUCAGCUAAUACUGGAUAAAUAAAUAAAUGGGUCCUUUUGCUCCCCUGGGACCGCACCAGAACAUCUGACUACACUAAAGUGUGAGUAGCAAUUUAUGUGCAGAAGUUAUGAGCUUUGAGGAAAUGAGAAAUUAAACAUAUUCUCUAAGAAAAGCAGUGAUUGGUCAGGAGUAUGGCUCCAUUUGUGAUUUCAGAUAAAUAUUCAUCGAAGGACAGCUAACUAUAAAAUUUAUGAGCGUUCCAAAGGUUGAUCAGUUUUACCAUGCUAAACAGAGUAUCCUUCCUAGUAAGUAGGAAUAGUGUAAGUCACAUUGCUAAACCAUGUCAUGAUACAACAUCUAUUAGUAUCUUGAAUUUAAGACAAAUCAUAUUUUACCUACACUCUUUCCCAGUUAUGAUAAAUUGUCUUAUGCCAUCUGACAAGUCAUUUUUAUCAAAUAAUUAAAAGUUGACCUUUCCUUUAGUUUUGGCAUCUUACUACUACAUGCU